CCUACGGGAGGCAGCAGUGGGGAAUUUUGGACAAUGGGCGCAAGCCUGAUCCAGCAAUGCCGCGUGAGUGAAGAAGGCCUUCGGGUUGUAAAGCUCUUUUGUCAGGGAAGAAACGGGUCUUUCUAAUACAGAGGUCUAAUGACGGUACCUGAAGAAUAAGCACCGGCUAACUACGUGCCAGCAGCCGCGGUAAUACGUAGGGUGCAAGCGUUAAUCGGAAUUACUGGGCGUAAAGCGUGCGCAGGCGGUUUUGUAAGUUUUGUCGUGAAAUCCCCGGGCUCAACCUGGGAAUGGCGAUGAAGACUGCAAGGCUAGAGUUUGGCAGAGGGGGGUAGAAUUCCACGGUGUAGCAGUGAAAUGCGUAGAUAUGUGGAGGAACACCGAUGGCGAAGGCAGCCCCCUGGGUCAAACUGACGCUCAUGCACGAAGCGUGGGGAGCAAACAGGAUUAGAUACCCUGGUAGUCCACGCCCUAAACGAUGUCUACUAGUUGUCGGGUCUUAAUUGACUUGGUAACGCAGCUAACGCGUGAGUAGACCGCCUGGGGAGUACGGUCGCAAGAUUAAAACNCAAAUGAAUUGACGGCUGAGAGNGCGAGCGACGACGAGGGAGGAG
rnacentral:rRNA from 1 species